GAUGAACGCUGGCGGCGUGCCUAAUACAUGCAAGUCGAGCGAACAGAUGAGGAGCUUGCUCCUCUGACGUUAGCGGCGGACGGGUGAGUAACACGUGGAUAACCUACCUAUAAGACUGUGAUAACUUCGGGAAACCGGAGCUAAUACCGGAUAAUAUAUUGAACCGCAUGGUUUAAUAGUGAAAGACGGUUUUGCUGUCACUGAUAGAUGGAUCCGCGCCUCAUUAGCUAGUUGGUAAGGUAACGGCUUACCAAGGCAACGAUGCGUAGCCGACCUGAGAGGGUGAUCGGCCACACUGGAACUGAGACACGGUCCAGACUCCUACGGGAGGCAGCAGUAGGGAAUCUUCCGCAAUGGGCGAAAGCCUGACGGAGCAACGCCGCGUGAGUGAUGAAGGUCUUCGGAUCGUAAAACUCUGUUAUUAGGGAAGAACAAAUGUGUAAGUAACUAUGCACGUCUUGACGGUACCUAAUCAGAAAGCCACGGCUAACUACGUG
rnacentral:rRNA from 1 species